UAAAACAUAGCAUUAAUGCACCGGAUCCCAUUAGAACUCUGCAUUUAAGCACGCUUAGGCUAGAGUAAUAAUAGUAUGGAUGAGCACUCGAGAUGUCCUAGUGUUUUAC
rnacentral:rRNA from 1 species